AAAGCAGGACGGAUAGCUGCGGGGAGAAGAUCCCUGAGGAAAGUCCGAGCUCCGCAGGGCAGGGUGCUGGGUAACGCCCAGUGAGGGUGACCUCAAGGAAAGUGCCACAGAAAUAUACCGCCUGCCGGACGCAGGUCCGGUCAGGUAAGGGUGAAAUGGUGCGGUAAGAGCGCACCAGCGGUCAGGCGACUGGCCGGCUAGGUAAACCCCACCCGGAGCAAGACCAAAUAGGGGAGAGUUGACGCUGCCC
rnacentral:RNase_P_RNA from 1 species